rnacentral:rRNA from 1 species
UACGUAGGGUGCAAGCGUUAAUCGGAAUUACUGGGCGUAAAGCGUGCGCAGGCGGUUGUGCAAGACCGAUGUGAAAUCCCCGGGCUCAACCUGGGAAUGGCAUUGGUGACUGCACGGCUAGAGUGUGUCAGAGGGGGGUAGAAUUCCACGUGUAGCAGUGAAAUGCGUAGAGAUGUGGAGGAGUACCGAUGGCGAAGGCAGCCCCCUGGGAUAACACUGACGCUCAUGCACGAAAGCGUGGGGAGCAAACAGG